UACGUAGGGUGCGAGCGUUGUCCGGAAUUAUUGGGCUUAAAGAGCUUGUAGGCGGUUUGUCGCGUCUGCUGUGAAAAUCCGGGGCUCAACCCCGGACUUGCAGUGGGUACGGGCAGACUAGAGUGUGGUAGGGGAGACUGGAAUUCCUGGUGUAGCGGUGAAAUGCGCAGAUAUCAGGAGGAACACCGAUGGCGAAGGCAGGUCUCUGGGCCACUACUGACGCUGAGAAGCGAAAGCAUGGGGAGCGAACAGG
rnacentral:rRNA from 1 species